GAAAAGAUAUAUGUACGUACUGCAGGAAGCCCUUGGGCAUAGAUGCCAAAAUGAUCUUAGAUGCCCUGCAAAUUUGCUGUCAUUCAACUUGCUUCAAGUGUGAAGUAUGUAAAAGACCACUGGAAGAUCUGAAAGCAGGAGACAGCAUUUGGAUUUACAGACAAACCGUGCAUUGUGAGCCUUGCUAUUCCAAAGUCAAAG